rnacentral:rRNA from 1 species
ACAGCAGUCGCCGCGGGAAUACAGAGGGUGCGAGCGUUAAUCGGAUUUACUGGGCGUAAAGCGUGCGUAGGCGGCUAAUUGAGUCGGAUGUGAAAUCCCCGAGCUUAACUUGGGAAUUGCAUUCGAUACUGGUUAGCUAGAGUGUGGGAGAGGAUGGUAGAAUUCCAGGUGUAGCGGUGAAAUGCGUAGAGAUCUGGAGGAAUACCGAUGGCGAAGGCAGCCAUCUGGCCUAACACUGACGCUGAGGUACGAAAGCAUGGGGAGCAAACAGGAUUAGAUACCCGGGUAGUCCCUGUCUCUUAUAC